rnacentral:lncRNA from 10 species
UCUCAUAUAUGACAAUCAUCUGGUAAGUUUCAUGGCCUCACACAACCUCAUUUUAUCACAGCUUAUGAAAUUUGAAAAAUGAGCGAGUGCAAAAAUAGGCAUGUCAAGUCUCAGGCUCUGAUGUAAGUCUGACACCUGUGAAGGGAGAGAGAAAAGGAAGAAAGAUUGGAGUAAGAAGAGCAGGGCAGCUCUGAGAGGUUUUGCCAGGUCUCCAAAGAGGUUAAGAGAAGAAAAUACCCAUUAAAGGAAUUCCACUUUUGACAAAAAUAUUUUAAUUCUGUCAAUCUUGCUAUGCUGAGGCAUUGGUUAAUGGCAUUUCCACUAAGAACACGUUCUUUUUUUUGGGGGGGGAUGGGGAGGGGGACAGAGUCUGUUUUCUGCUUUUCUUCCUUUUCUUACAUGUAUCAUAUACGCAUUGCAGUCGAAGAAUUUCUUUCUCCAACUCCAAUUUGUCCUCAUUUUUAUCUUUCACAGGUAUUAACCCCUAAUAAGCCUCUUGGACACCUCACUCAAUCCCAGCAUUAACUACUCAUAAUUACAUAUAUCCAAGAAGUCAAUAAAUCAUUAUCUGCAAAUGUACACUUUUAAAUAUAUAGGUGGAACAAUUACCCCAUUAAUUUGACGAGUGUAAAACAUAAUUAUAGCUGACUGAAACUUUAAACAGUUUUUUAUUGUUGUUGUUGUUGCUUUGUUUUGCCUUUUUUGCUAGUGGAUGCAUACAAAUUGUUUUAUUUCAAUUAUUUGGACCGUUUUCUUCUUUUACCUCUUAACAUUAUAUAUGAAAGAAUUUAACCAAUUGCAAAAGUGAGUCUUGUAAAUAAAGUCCUCUCUAUUAUGGACUUUAACUUUGUUCUUAAAAUAUCAUCAUAGGGUAUGUAAAUAAAUACCUUAAUAAUACUACCCUUACCCAAGGGAAAAGUGUAGUAACAAUACAACAGUUAACUCAACUUUUUAUUUUUCAAGCGUGCUAUUUACUGUAACAUCCUUUCUGCUUGGAUUCUCAAUGAUCCAUUCUUGGGUAUUUUUACUGGUAUCUUCCUUUCUGU